GAUGAAGAACGUAGCGAAAUGCGAUAAGUAGUGUGAAUUGCAGAAUCCCGUGAACCAUCGAGUCUUUGAACGCAAGUUGCGCCCGAAGCCACUAGGCCGAGGGCACGCCUGCCUGGGCGUCACACGCCGUUGCCCCCCCAUCUACUCCUUCGGGAUUGCGGGGGGGCGGAUGAUGGCCUCCCGUGCGCCUAGCCGCGCGGUUGGCAUAAAUACCAAGUCCUCGGCGACGCACGCCACGACAAUCGGUGGUUGCGAAACCUCGGUUGCCCGUCGUGUGCGUUCGUCGCGCAUCGAGGGCUCGAAAAAAUGCUCGGCUCCGGCUGGGCUUUCAACGCGACCCCAGGUCAGGCGGGGUUACCCGCUGAAUUUAAGCAUAUCAAUAAGCGGAGGA
rnacentral:misc_RNA from 1 species